rfam:Aedes aegypti strain Liverpool supercont1.1140 genomic scaffold, whole genome shotgun sequence.
CAAUCGGCCCUUUUCGGGGCCAGCAAAUGUGUUCGGAAGAGUAAUUU